rnacentral:piRNA from 1 species
GAAAAGAGAGUUAAUUAUUGUUGC